rnacentral:rRNA from 1 species
UACGGGAGUGGCAAGCGUUAUCCGGAAUUAUUGGGCGUAAAGCGUCCGCAGGCGGUCUUGUAAGUCUGUCGUUAAAGCGUGGAGCUUAACUCCAUUUCAGCGAUGGAAACUGCAAGACUAGAGUGUGGUAGGGGCAGAGGGAAUUCCCGGUGUAGCGGUGAAAUGCGUAGAUAUCGGGAAGAACACCAGUGGCGAAGGCGCUCUGCUGGGCCAUAACUGACGCUCAUGGACGAAAGCCAGGGGAGCGAAAGGGAUUAGAUACCCCUGUAGUCCUGGCCGUAAACGAUGAACACUAGGUGUCGGGGGAAUCGACCCCCUCGGUGUCGUAGCCAACGCGUUAAGUGUUCCGCCUGGGGAGUACGCACGCAAGUGUGAAACUCAAAUGAAUUGACGGGGGCCCGCACAAGCGGUGGAGCAUGUGGUUUAAUUCGACGCAACGCGAAGAACCUUACCAGGUCUUGACAUCCAGAGAACUUUCCAGAGAUGGAUUGGUGCCUUCGGGAACUCUGUGACAGGUGCUGCAUGGCUGUCGUCAGCUCGUGUCGUGAGAUGUUGGGUUAAGUCCCGCAACGAGCGCAACCCACGUCGUUAGUUGCCAGCAUUUAGUUGGGCACUCUAGCGAGACUGCCGGUGAUAAACCGGAGGAAGGUGUGGAUGACGUCAAGUCAUCAUGCCCCUUACAUCCUGGGCUACACACGUACUACAAUGCUACGGACAAAGGGCAGCAAACUCGCGAGAGCUAGCAAAUCCCAUAAACCGUGGCUCAGUUCAGAUCGUAGGCUGCAACUCGCCUACGUGAAGGAGGAAUCGCUAGUAAUCGCAGGUCAGCAUACUGCGGUGAAUACGUUCCCGGGCCU